AAUGAGCAGAAGGAGAGUGGCCUGGGGUCAUGGUGUAUGUGCGUUGGGUUCUGUGAGUUGGGCCGAGUGCCAGUGUGUGCACAUGCCCUUGGAGUGCAAGGUGACUGUGCGUCCGCCCCCUCCCCGCCCCCACUCCUUUCCCAGCCCGCCUACACUUUGACCUUACUUGAUCAGGUUAGUCGGGACCCGGUGAAAAGCAGCCCUCUGCUGUGCAGCAAUGCCCCUGGGCAGUGGCAACAACUGGGAUCCGGUGGGCCGGGAGCUGGUCCUGCGGGCCAGGUGUUCAGAGUGGCGAACUGCUCAGAUAGAAGAGGCCCGGCUUGUUCUGGCCACUGAUUAUCUCACUGAUUCUGACCUGA